rnacentral:rRNA from 1 species
AAGCUCGUAGUUGAAUUUCGGGAUUAGUACGUCGGUCGUGCCUUAGGUACGUACUGGUGUUACUGGUUCCUACCUUCUGACGAACCAUCAUGUCAUUAAUUUGGUGUGGUGGGGAAUCAGGACAGUUACUUUGAAAAAAAUUAGAGUGUUUAAAGCAGGCUCGCGCUUGAAUACAUUAGCAUGGAAUAAUGAAAUAGGACGUUGAUCCUAUUUUGUUGGUUUCUAGGAUUGACGUAAUGAUUAAUAGGGAUAGUUGGG